UGAUUCCGAUUUAGAGAAAAUGUUGUCCU
rnacentral:piRNA from 1 species